rnacentral:lncRNA from 11 species
GGAGUUUAUGAUUUCUUACUCUGGGGAAGUCUGACUCUGCAAGGUAAACAUUCACCUGUGGAUGGAUGGAGGACAGAAUAUUACUCAUUAUUCAUUUCAUUGCCAUCGUGGGUUUCCUGACAUUCAAAAAACUUAGCCAGAAACCACAGCAAAGAGGUUUCAUCAGCCCUUACCAGAACAGCCAAAGAUGUGGGAUCAUCAGAAUUAAUGGCAUCUGAAGAACUAUUUAUUUUCCUUCCUGGAGGCAUG